GGAACGGGUGUGGGGCUGCAGGGCUCUGAGUCCUGCAGCGCUGCUCAUGGCUGCGCAGCAAGGAAUGCCCAGUUCGCCCCUUCGAGUCCUGGAAGAAGCGCGGGGCAUGGGUUUCACUGAAGCUGGGGACACUGCAGACGCGGUGGCCGCCGAGGGCGCUUACUACCUGGAGCAUACUUUGAGCUAA
rnacentral:lncRNA from 1 species